UACGAAGGGGGCUAGCGUUGUCCGGAUUUACUGGGCGUAAAGAGCGCGCAGGCGGUCGUUUAAGUCGAAUGUGAAAGCCCCCGGCUCAACUGGGGAGGGUCAUUCGAUACUGAUCGACUUGAAGGCAGGAGAGAGAAGUGGAAUUCCCGGUGUAGUGGUGAAAUGCGCAGAUAUCAGGAGGAACACCGGUGGCGAAGGCGGGUCUCUGGACCGAUACUGACGUGAGGAGCGAAAGCGUGGGGAGCGAACAGG
rnacentral:rRNA from 1 species